AGGAGAUACGUUGGUGAUACGUUGGAAUUUUCCUCCUCUCAUGCAGUUUACGCGUCAUGGAGAGAUGUUGUCUGCCACCUGAAGGUUGUAUACAAGGAUGCACAGGAACAGAAGUUGAUGCAGUAAUAUUCAGUGACCUUGUUGGACAAGGCAAUGUGAUGCUGACAGUUUUCUCAAAUGAUGAAUUUUAAAGGAAACGUCUUCCGCUUCUGAGAUGUCUGACUCAAGCUUCAGCUCAACUGCAUCAUCUGUAGUCGUAGAUGAGGUUCCUAGCAAGAGACAAAGAACUUAGGAUACACCAGAUGCAGUGUCUGCUAAACUGCAGUGCUAAGAGGCAACUCUGGUGGUGAAGAAGUACUACAGGAAUACCAAAGGAUGGAGAGACUUGUAGUCUUUCAUAAGGUAAUUAUAUUAUUAAGGUGAUUAUAAUAAUUUGUCACAUGUCCCCUUCUUAGCCACAUGUGUAAAUAUGGGUUGU